rnacentral:rRNA from 1 species
CAGUAGCCUCGGUAAUACGAAGGGGGCUAGCGUUGUUCGGAUUUACUGGGCGUAAAGGGUGCGUAGGCGGAUUGUUAAGUCAGGGGUGAAAUCCCGAGGCUCAACCUCGGAACUGCCUUUGAUACUAGCGAUCUUGAGUCCGGGAGAGGUGAGUGGAACUGCGAGUGUAGAGGUGAAAUUCGUAGAUAUUCGCAAGAACACCGGUGGCGAAGGCGGCUCACUGGCCCGGUACUGACGCUGAGGCACGAAAGCGUGGGGAGCAAACAGGAUUAGAGACCCCAGUAGUCCCUGUCUCUUAUAU